GACGUACUUGUACUGAUUGAGAUUUUAACACGAAGUGAGUGGCGAACGGGUGAGUAACACGUGGGUAACCUGCCCAGAAGUAGGGGAUAACACCUGGAAACAGAUGCUAAUACCGUAUAACAGAGAAAACCGCAUGGUUUUCUUUUAAAAGAUGGCUCUGCUAUCACUUCUGGAUGGACCCGCGGCGUAUUAGCUAGUUGGUGAGGUAAAGGCUCACCAAGGCAGUGAUACGUAGCCGACCUGAGAGGGUAAUCGGCCACAUUGGGACUGAGACACGGCCCAGACUCCUACGGGAGGCAGCAGUAGGGAAUCUUCCACAAUGGACGCAAGUCUGAUGGAGCAACGCCGCGUGAGUGAAGAAGGGUUUCGGCUCGUAAAGCUCUGUUGUUAAAGAAGAACGUGGGUAAGAGUAACUGUUUACCCAGUGACGGUAUUUAACCAGAAAGCCACGGCUAACUACGUGCCAGCAGCCGCGGUAAUACGUAGGUGGCAAGCGUUAUCCGGAUUUAUUGGGCGUAAAGCGAGCGCAGGAUUCGCGG
rnacentral:rRNA from 1 species